GACGAACGCUGGCGGCGUGCUUAACACAUGCAAGUCGAACGGAAAGGCCCUGCUUUUGUGGGGUGCUCGAGUGGCGAACGGGUGAGUAACACGUGAGUAACCUGCCCUUGACUUUGGGAUAACUUCAGGAAACUGGGGCUAAUACCGGAUAGGAGCUCCUGCUGCAUGGUGGGGGUUGGAAAGUUUCGGCGGUUGGGGAUGGACUCGCGGCUUAUCAGCUUGUUGGUGGGGUAGUGGCUUACCAAGGCUUUGACGGGUAGCCGGCCUGAGAGGGUGACCGGCCACAUUGGGACUGAGAUACGGCCCAGACUCCUACGGGAGGCAGCAGUGGGGAAUAUUGCACAAUGGGCGGAAGCCUGAUGCAGCAACGCCGCGUGCGGGAUGACGGCCUUCGGGUUGUAAACCGCUUUCGCCUGUGACGAAGCGUGAGUGACGGUAAUGGGUAAAGAAGCACCGGCUAACUACGUGCCAGCAGCCGCGGUGAUACGUAGGGUGCGAGCGUUGUCCGGAUUUAUUGGGCGUAAAGGGCUCGUAGGUGGUUGAUCGCGUCGGAAGUGUAGUCUUGGGGCUUAACCCUGAGCGUGCUUUCGAUACGGGUUGACUUGAGGAAGGUAGGGGAGAAUGGAAUUCCUGGUGGAGCGGUGGAAUGCGCAGAUAUCAGGAGGAACACCAGUGGCGAAGGCGGUUCUCUGGGCCUUUCCUGACGCUGAGGAGCGAAAGCGUGGGGAGCGAACAGGCUUAGAUACCCUGGUAGUCCACGCUGUAAACGGUGGGUACUAGGUGUGGGGUCCAUUCCACGGGUUCCGUGCCGUAGCUAACGCUUUAAGUACCCCGCCUGGGGAGUACGGCCGCAAGGCUAAAACUCAAAGGAAUUGACGGGGCCCCGCACAAGCGGCGGAGCAUGCGGAUUAAUUCGAUGCAACGCGUAGAACCUUACCUGGGUUUGACAUGGAUCGGGAGUGCUCAGAGAUGGGUGUGCCUCUUUUGGGGUCGGUUCACAGGUGGUGCAUGCCUGUCGUCAGCUCGUGUCGUGAGAUGUUGGGUUAAGUCCCGCAACGAGCGCAACCCUUGUUCACUGUUGCCAGCACGUUAUGGUGGGGACUCAGUGGAGACCGCCGGGGUCAACUCGGAGGAAGGUGGGGAUGACGUCAAGUCAUCAUGCCCCUUAUGUCCAGGGCUUCACGCAUGCUACAAUGGCUGGUACAGAGAGUGGCGAGCCUGUGAGGGUGAGCGAAUCUCGGAAAGCCGGUCUCAGUUCGGAUUGGGGUCUGCAACUCGACCUCAUGAAGUCGGAGUCGCUAGUAAUCGCAGAUCAGCAACGCUGCGGUGAAUACGUUCCCGGG
rnacentral:rRNA from 1 species